rnacentral:rRNA from 1 species
AGAUUCCAGGCCCUACGGGGCGCAGCAGGCGCGAAACCUUUACACUGCACGACAGUGCGAUAAGGGGACCCCGAGUGCGAGGGCAUACAGUCCUCGCUUUUGUGUACCGUAGGGAGGUACACGAAUAAGGGCUGGGCAAGACCGGUGCCAGCCGCCGCGGUAAUACCGGCAGCUCAAGUGAUGGCCGCUGUUAUUGGGCCUAAAGCGUCCGUAGCUGGCCGCACAAGUCCGUCGGGAAAUCCACCCGCCUAACGGGUGGGCGUCCGGCGGAAACUGUGCGGCUUGGGACCGGAAGACUCGAGGGGUACGUCCGGGGUAGGAGUGAAAUCCUGUAAUCCUGGACGGACCGCCGGUGGCGAAAGCGCCUCGAGAGGACGGAUCCGACAGUGAGGGACGAAAGCUAGGGUCUCGAACCGGAUUAGAUACCCGGGUAGUCCUAGCCGUAAACGAUGCUCGCUAGGUAGCCGUAAACGAUGCUCGCUAGGUGUGGCGCAGGCUACGAGCCUGCGCUGUGCCGUAGGGAAGCCGUGAAGCGAGCCGCCUGGGAAGUACGUCCGCAAGGAUGAAACUUAAAGGAAUUGGCGGGGGAGCACUACAACCGGAGGAGCCUGCGGUUUAAUUGGACUCAACGCCGGACAUCUCACCAGCACCGACAGUAGUCGUGACAGUCAGGUUGAUGACCUUACUCGAGCUUCUGAGAGGAGGUGCAUGGCCGCCGUCAGCUCGUACCGUGAGGCGUCCUGUUAAGUCAGG